CCAUCAGUGAUGAGAAAGCUAACACGUAAGAAGAAAAGACUCCUUUGUGGGGUCUUUCUUCUAUGAAAUACAUUUGUUACGCUUGGCUUCUGAGAUAA
rfam:Brassica napus, WGS project CCCW01000000 data, contig: 10127